GGAUAGCUCAGUCGGUAGAGUUUAAGACACUUAAUCUCAGGAUUGUGGGUUCGAGCCCCAUGUUGAGCA